rnacentral:rRNA from 1 species
CACUAUCGUUAACUGAAUACAUAGGUUAACGAGGCGAACCGGGGGAACUGAAACAUCUAAGUACCCCGAGGAAAAGAAAUCAACCGAGAUUCCCCCAGUAGCGGCGAGCGAACGGGGAGCAGCCCAGAGUCUGAAUCAGCUUGUGUGUUAGUGGAACGGUCUGGAAAGUCCGACGGUACAGGGUGAUAGUCCCGUACACCAAAAUGCACAGGUUGUGAACUCGAAGAGUAGGGCGGGACACGUGGUAUCCUGUCUGAAUAUGGGGGGACCAUCCUCCAAGGCUAAAUACUCCUGACUGACCGAUAGUGAACCAGUACCGUGAGGGAAAGGCGAAAAGAACCCCGGCGAGGGGAGUGAAAAAGAACCUGAAACCGUGUACGUACAAGCAGUGGGAGCACCUUCGGGUGUGACUGCGUACCUUUUGUAUAAUGGGUCAGCGACUUAUAUUCUGUAGCAAGGUUAACCGUAUAGGGGAGCCGCAGGGAAACCGAGUCUUAACUGGGCGUUAAGUUGCAGGGUAUAGACCCGAAACCCGGUGAUCUAGCCAUGGGCAGGUUGAAGGUUGGGUAACACUAACUGGAGGACCGAACCGACUAAUGUUGAAAAAUUAGCGGAUGACUUGUGGCUGGGGGUGAAAGGCCAAUCAAACCGGGAGAUAGCUGGUUCUCCCCGAAAGCUAUUUAGGUAGCGCCUCGUGAAUUCAUCUUCGGGGGUAGAGCACUGUUUCGGCUAGGGGGUCAUCCCGACUUACCAACCCGAUGCAAACUACGAAUACCGAAGAAUGUUAUCACGGGAGACACACGGCGGGUGCUAACGUCCGUCGUGAAGAGGGAAACAACCCAGACCGCCAGCUAAGGUCCCAAAGUCAUGGUUAAGUGGGAAACGAUGUGGGAAGGCACAGACAGCCAGGAUGUUGGCUUAGAAGCAGCCAUCAUUUAAAGAAAGCGUAAUAGCUCACUGGUCGAGUCGGCCUGCGCGGAAGAUGUAACGGGGCUAAACCAUGCACCGAAGCUGCGGCAGCGACACUAUGUGUUGUUGGGUAGGGGAGCGUUCUGUAAGCCUGCGAAGGUGACCUGUGAGGGUUGCUGGAGGUAUCAGAAGUGCGAAUGCUGACAUAAGUAACGAUAAAGCGGGUGAAAAGCCCGCUCGCCGGAAGACCAAGGGUUCCUGUCCAACGUUAAUCGGGGCAGGGUGAGUCGACCCCUAAGGCGAGGCCGAAAGGCGUAGUCGAUGGGAAACAGGUUAAUAUUCCUGUACUUGGUGUUACUGCGAAGGGGGGACGGAGAAGGCUAUGUUAGCCGGGCGACGGUUGUCCCGGUUUAAGCAUGUAGGCUGGUUAUCCAGGCAAAUCCGGAUAAUCAAGGCUGAGGUGUGAUGACGAGGCACUACGGUGCUGAAGUAACAAAUGCCCUGCUUCCAGGAAAAGCCUCUAAGCAUCAGGUAACAUUAAAUCGUACCCCAAACCGACACAGGUGGUCAGGUAGAGAAUACCAAGGCGCUUGAGAGAACUCGGGUGAAGGAACUAGGCAAAAUGGUGCCGUAACUUCGGGAGAAGGCACGCUGGUGUGUAGGUGAAGCCCCUGCGGGUGGAGCUGAGACCAGUCGAAGAUACCAGCUGGCUGCAACUGUUUAUUAAAAACACAGCACUGUGCAAACACGAAAGUGGACGUAUACGGUGUGACGCCUGCCCGGUGCCGGAAGGUUAAUUGAUGGGGUUAUCCGUAAGGAGAAGCUCUUGAUCGAAGCCCCGGUAAACGGCGGCCGUAACUAUAACGGUCCUAAGGUAGCGAAAUUCCUUGUCGGGUAAGUUCCGACCUGCACGAAUGGCGUAAUGAUGGCCAGGCUGUCUCCACCCGAGACUCAGUGAAAUUGAACUCGCUGUGAAGAUGCAGUGUACCCGCGGCAAGACGGAAAGACCCCGUGAACCUUUACUAUAGCUUGACACUGAACAUUGAGCCUUGAUGUGUAGGAUAGGUGGGAGGCUUUGAAGCGUGGACGCCAGUCUGCGUGGAGCCAACCUUGAAAUACCACCCUUUAAUGUUUGAUGUUCUAACGUUGGCCCCUGACCGGGGUUGCGGACAGUGUCUGGUGGGUAGUUUGACUGGGGCGGUCUCCUCCCAAAGCGUAACGGAGGAGCACGAAGGUUAGCUAAUCCUGGUCGGACAUCAGGAGGUUAGUGCAAUGGCAUAAGCUAGCUUGACUGCGAGCGUGACGGCGCGAGCAGGUGCGAAAGCAGGUCAUAGUGAUCCGGUGGUUCUGAAUGGAAGGGCCAUCGCUCAACGGAUAAAAGGUACUCCGGGGAUAACAGGCUGAUACCGCCCAAGAGUUCAUAUCGACGGCGGUGUUUGGCACCUCGAUGUCGGCUCAUCACAUCCUGGGGCUGAAGUAGGUCCCAAGGGUAUGGCUGUUCGCCAUUUAAAGUGGUACGCGAGCUGGGUUUAGAACGUCGUGAGACAGUUCGGUCCCUAUCUGCCGUGGGCGCUGGAGAAUUGAGGGGGGCUGCUCCUAGUACGAGAGGACCGGAGUGGACGCAUCACUGGUGUUCGGGUUGUCAUGCCAAUGGCACUGCCCGGUAGCUAAAUGCGGAAGAGAUAAGUGCUGAAAGCAUCUAAGCACGAAACUUGCCCCGAGAUGAGUUCUCCCUGAGACUUUAAGUCUCCUGAAGGAACGUUGAAGACGACGACGUUGAUAGGCCGGGUGUGUAAGCGCAGCGAUGCGUUGAGCUAACCGGUACUAAUGAACCGUGAGGCUUAACCUU